rnacentral:rRNA from 1 species
CGAGUGGCGGACGGGUGAGUAAUGUCUAGGGAAACUGCCGAUGGAGGGGGAUAACUACUGGAAACGGUAGCUAAUACCGCAUAACGUCGCAAGACCAAAGAGGGGGACCUUAGGGCCUCUUGCCAUCGGAUGUGCCCAGAUGGGAUUAGCUAGUAGGUGGGGUAACGGCUCACCUAGGCGACGAUCCCUAGCUGGUCUGAGAGGAUGACCAGCCACACUGGAACUGAGACACGGUCCAG